AGUGAACGCUGGCGGUAGGCCUAACACAUGCAAGUCGAACGGCAGCACAGGAGAGCUUGCUCUCUAGGUGGCGAGUGGCGGACGGGUGAGGAAUACAUCGGAAUCUGCCCAGUCGUGGGGGAUAACGUAGGGAAACUUACGCUAAUACCGCAUACGACCUUCGGGUGAAAGAGGGGGAUCGCAAGACCUCUCGCGAUUGGAUGAGCCGAUGUCGGAUUAGCUAGUUGGCGGGGUAAUGGCCCACCAAGGCGACGAUCCGUAGCUGGUCUGAGAGGAUGAUCAGCCACACUGGAACUGAGACACGGUCCAGACUCCUACGGGAGGCAGCAGUGGGGAAUAUUGGACAAUGGGCGCAAGCCUGAUCCAGCCAUACCGCGUGGGUGAAGAAGGCCUUCGGGUUGUAAAGCCCUUUUGUUGGGAAAGAAAUCUUUCAGGCUAAUACCCUGGGAGGAUGACGGUACCCAAAGAAUAAGCACCGGCUAACUUCGUG
rnacentral:rRNA from 1 species